GGAAGUAAAAGUCGUAAGAAGGUCUCCGUUGGUGAACCAGCGGAGGGAUCAUUACCGAGUUUAC
rnacentral:rRNA from 1 species